rnacentral:rRNA from 1 species
GAUGAAUGCUGGCGGCGUGCCUAACACAUGCAAGUCGAGCGGCAGCGCGAGUAGUUUACUACUUGGCGGCGAGCGGCGGACGGCUGAGUAACGCGUGGGAACGUGCCCCAAAGUGAGGAAUAACUGCCCGAAAGGGUGGCUAAUGCCGCAUAUGAUCUUCGGAUUAAAGGAUUUAUCCGCUUUGGGAGCGGCCCGCGUCGGAUUAGGUGGUUGGUGAGGUAAUGGCUCACCAAGCCGACGAUCCGUAGCUGGUCUGAGAGGAUGAUCAGCCAGACUGGGACUGAGACACGGCCCAGACUCCUACGGGAGGCAGCAGUGAGGAGUCUUCCACAAUGGGCGAAAGCCUGAUGGAGCAACGCCGCGUGAAGGAUGAAGGCCCUCGGGUUGUAAACUUCUUUUAUAAGUGAAGAAUAUGACGGUAACUUAUGAAUAAGCACCGGCUAACUACGUGCCAGCAGCCGCCGUAACAC